rnacentral:sRNA from 1 species
ACCUGUUCCCGUGGCCGAGCGCGGCCGACGGGACAACGGACACACACUGUGCCUGGGAAGAACUGGGCACUUCAGGGCGUU